ACGCACGCUGGCGGCGUGCUUAACACAUGCAAGUCGCACGGUAAGGCUCCAGCUUGCUGGGGUACACGAGUGGCGAACGGGUGAGUAACACGUGGGUGACCUGCCCUGCACUUCGGGAUAAGCCUGGGAAACUGGGUCUAAUACCGGAUAGGACCAUGGUGUGGAUACUGUGGUGGAAAGUUUUUUCGGUGUGGGAUGGGCCCGCGGCCUAUCAGCUUGUUGGUGGGGUAAUGGCCUACCAAGGCGGCGACGGGUAGCCGGCCUGAGAGGGUGGACGGCCACAUUGGGACUGAGACACGGCCCAGACUCCUACGGGAGGCAGCAGUGGGGAAUAUUGCACAAUGGGCGGAAGCCUGAUGCAGCGACGCCGCGUGGGGGAUGACGGCCUUCGGGUUGUAAACUCCUUUCACCAUCGACGAAGGGUUUCUGACGGUAGAUGGAGAAGAAGCACCGGCUAACUACGUG
rnacentral:rRNA from 1 species